UAAGCAGUAUACUUAUAGUAAAUAUGCAAGGAAAAAAAUAUAUACUUGGUCUAUCCAUCUAUAUUUGUCUGAUCGUCAACAGUUUAUGUGAUUCAGAGAUGCGACUUUGAAGCCGAGGAUGCUUCAACUUUGUAAAGAAAAGAAUGUUUCCCAAUUUUCCAAUGUCUGCUUUUGCAAGAUGCUGCAAUACAGCAUCGUCUGGUUAUGGUGGCUCGUCAGUGUAGUGUUUAUUCUGAUGAUUUUUUCACAGGUAAAUACUAAAGAGCAGAUCAAUGGGGCAGUGACAGAAAUGUCUGCCCUACACACCUCAGCAAGGAAAGGUCAGCGAGAAUUGAGGAGUGCAGCAUGACGACAAACACUCAAGGUGAUGUCUAAAUUCGAAGUCGAUAAGUCGAUCAUGCAUGCGGCUCCAGGCUGACGUGACACGUUCCGCCGUCAACUGAAAUGAGUGACAUCACGCACCGUUACGUCCUCUUGACGUUCAGCCUCUAACUUCUUUCUUUUUCUUUUCAGGUUUUUUUUUCUGAAUUUCAAAUUUUUUUCCUUUACGUGUGCGCUCUAACUAAACAUUUGUUUCCUGUCAGAAAACACCAGAGGACGAGUGGUUGGCGCGAGUGAGGACAGCCAGCCAUCCCGUUCUCAUCUGCCGCAGACCUCCAUCACGUAGCGACUACGCCAACGUCUGCUUGUGGCUGUUGCAGGCGUCGUUGCACCUCCCUGCCUGCGGCCCGCUGUGGCAUCUGCGAGUUCACUUAGUCUCUGUCCCGACUGAAGGAAGCGCGGGAAAUAAUUGCCUCUUUAUUUGGACCCUCCGCAUCAUUUCCCACACGCCUCUACAAACACUCAGCCGCGUGCUUCGUUUAUGAAGACUUUCUCAUCAAUCAACGAACGAGAGUGAUAUAAGAGAGAGGAGGAUGGAAGGAGGGGCGCUAAUGGCGGAGAGGGAGGAGGAUUCAAAGUUUUCACCAAAGCAUGGUCGUAUUCAUCGCUCACCUGUCCACACCUGACUCUGGCAUGCGUGAUCGAUGCUACGCAAAUGGGAGCAGAUAGACCAAACCCUCGAUAUCACAAAUGUAAUGGAUACCCGUGCGUUGUCAAGGCUACAGCCAAUGGAAAAUUCAGAGCAUUUGUUAAGUAAGUAAAUC